rnacentral:rRNA from 1 species
GGGCGUAAAGGGUGUGUAGGCGGUUCUCUAAGUUUGGUGUGAAAUCUCCCGGCUUAACCGGGAGGGUGCGCCGAAAACUGGAGGGCUAGAGUGCGGGAAGGGAGAGUGGAAUUCCUGGUGUAGCGGUGAAAUGCGUAGAUAUCAGGAGGAACACCGGUGGUGUAGACGGCUCUCUGGACCGUAACUGACGCUGAGACACGAAAGCGUGGGUAGCAAACAGGAUUAGAUACCCUGGUAGUCCACGCCCUAAACGAUGCAUAUUUGGUGUAGGUCAUUCAGUUGAUCUGUGCCGGAGCUAACGCGUUAAAUAUGCCGCCUGGGGAGUACAGUCGCAAGGCUGAAACUCAAAGGAAUUGACGGGGGCCCGCACAAGCGGUGGAGCAUGUGGUUCAAUUCGACGCAACGCGAAGAACCUUACCUGGGCUCGAACGGCUUCUUAACGGGGGUGGAAACACCUCUAUCCCGCAAGGGAGUGGAGUCGAGGUGCUGCAUGGCUGUCGUCAGCUCGUGUCGUGAGAUGUUGGGUUAAGUCCCGCAACGAGCGCAACCCUUGUCCUGUGUUGCCAUGCCGAAAGGCGGAACUCGCAGGAGACCGCCAGCGAUAAGCUGGAGGAAGGUGGGGAUGACGUCAAGUCCUCAUGGCCUUUAUGUCCAGGGCUACACACGUGCUACAAUGGCCGGUACAAAACGUUCCCAAGCCGCGAGGUGGAGGCAAUCGCAGAAAGCCGGUCUCAGUUCGGAUUGCAGGCUGCAACUCGCCUGCAUGAAGCUGGAAUCGCUAGUAAUGGCGGAUCAGCAUGCCGCCGUGAAUACGUUCCCGGGCCUUGUACACACCGCCCGUCACAUCACGAAAGUGGGUUGUACUAGAAGCUCGCAGGCUGACCCGCAAGGGAGGCAGC